GCACUACACGAGGCAGACCAAGGAAAUGUGAUUACAUCAAGCUUCAAACCAUGCUUAGAAGAUACAUGAAAAGUUCCUCCUUCAAAGAAACACAGGAUUCCAGCAAGCAUACCACUAAAAGAAGGGAAGUCCAGUAACACCUAUAGCAAUGAGUACACAGCGCCUCUUCAGAUCCUGACUUACUAAAGCACCUGGUACACAUCAACCA
rnacentral:lncRNA from 1 species